rnacentral:rRNA from 1 species
CAGCGCCCCAAGUGGCAAUCGCGAUUAUUGGGCCUAAAGCGUCCGUAGCCGGAUAAGUAAAUCCGUUGUAAAAUCGUUCUGCUCAACAGAACGGCGUGCAAUGGAGACUGCUUAUCUCGAGACCGGGAGGAGUCAGAGGUAUGCCGUGGGGACUGGUAAAAUGGAAUAAUCCACGGUAGACCACCAAUGGCGAAGGCAUCUGACGAGAACGGAUCUGACGGUGAGGGACGAAAGCCAGGGGAGCGAACCGGAUUAGAUACCCGAGUAGUCC